AAAAAAAAAAAAAAAAAACUAAAAGUCAACAUGGCCGCCCAAAAUGGCCAGUGAGAUGAAAACCCUAUUCCCGGACGUAAGCAUCUUCUAAAUGUUAAUGUUAAUGUUAAUGUUAAUGUUAAUGUUAAUGGAGAUAAUUCAAUUUGAAACCCUAAUUCUUCCUCCUCCUCCCACAAUCCAAUGCACCACAGUUGAUUAUCUUCAAGGGAGUCUUCAAAGCAAUACUGUCUGUCUAGGCUAAGAUAGACGAAAUUGGCAAAAGGAGAUCAGACACUCAUAUGUGGAAAGUAUUUUCUUUGAGGAGUUUGUUUUGGAGAAUUUGAGAUGUAGCAAAGAAGGUCUCACCACUGAAGAAAGAUUAUCCAUUUUUGGCCAUAAAGAAAAAAAGCUUCAUUCUGAUACGAAAUUAAAGAUUUUUUAUGUCAAUCCCUGGAGUAUCCUCAUUGCUUUUUCUGUGGAUUUGGAAUUAUUGAAGAGUAGACGUGUUUGUUUGGAGACAUUUUCAGUUUUGAAUUAUCUUUUGUUUUAUUUUCUUAAAUUCCAUUAUAUUUAAUGUUUGGAGAGAACUGUUAUAAAAUAUGUUGAUUCAACAAAACAUGCUUGGGCCUUUUCUAUUCUUACUUACAUACAACUUAUUUUAAUUUUAAUUAAUAGUGGA
rnacentral:lncRNA from 1 species